AUUGAACGCUGGCGGCAUGCUUUACACAUGCAAGUCGAACGGUAACAGGCCUUCGGGUGCUGACGAGUGGCGAACGGGUGAGUAAUGCAUCGGAACGUACCCAGAGGUGGGGGAUAACGCAGCGAAAGCUGUGCUAAUACCGCAUGUGAUCUGAGGAUGAAAGCGGGGGACCGAGCAGCAAUGUUUGGCCUCGCACCUUUGGAGCGGCCGAUGUCGGAUUAGCUAGUUGGUGGGGUAAAGGCCUACCAAGGCGACGAUCCGUAGCUGGUCUGAGAGGACGACCAGCCACACUGGGACUGAGACACGGCCCAGACUCCUACGGGAGGCAGCAGUGGGGAAUUUUGGACAAUGGGCGCAAGCCUGGUCCAGCAAUGCCGCGUGCGGGAAGAAGGCCUUCGGGUUGUAAACCGCUUUUGGCAGGAACGAAACGGUGUCCGCUAAUACCGGGCGCUAAUGACGGUACCUGCAGAAUAAGCACCGGCUAACUACGUG
rnacentral:rRNA from 1 species